rnacentral:SRP_RNA from 1 species
GCCGGGCAUGGUUGUGCUUGCCUGUAGUCCCAGCUACUCUGGAGGCUGAGGCGGGAGAAUUGCUUGAACCCAGGAGGUGGAGGUUGCAGUGAGCUGAGAUGGUGCCACUGCACUCCAGCCUGGGCAACAGAGCAAGACUCUGUCUCAA